rnacentral:pre_miRNA from 1 species
AAAAAGACAAACCCUGGGUUUCCGUGUCAAACAUUUGACCGUCCGUUUUAUUUAAAAAAAAUAUGAAAAAAAUUAAAAAAACAAAUCACACAUAAAGUAUUAAUCAUAUUUUAUCAUCUAACAACAAUGAAAAUACUAAUUAUAAAAAAAUUUCAUAUAAGACGGACAGUCAAACGUUGGACACGGAAACCUAGGGUUUGUCUUUUU